GGGCCCGCACAAGCGGUGGAGCAUGUGGUUUAAUUCGAUGAUACGCGAGGAACCUUACCAGGGCUUAAAUGUAGAGUGACAGGUCUAGAGAUAGAUUUUUCUUCGGACACUUUACAAGGUGCUGCAUGGUUGUCGUCAGCUCGUGCCGUGAGGUGUCAGGUUAAGUCCUAUAACGAGCGCAACCCCUAUCGUUAGUUGCCAGCAAGUAAAGUUGGGGACUCUAGCGAGACUGCCGGUGCAAACCGUGAGGAAGGUGGGGAUGACGUCAAAUCAUCACGGCCCUUACGUCCUGGGCUACACACGUGCUACAAUGGUAUGGACAAUGAGCAGCCACAACGCGAGUUGGAGCGAA
rnacentral:rRNA from 1 species